rnacentral:rRNA from 1 species
UACGGAGGGUCCAAGCGUUAUCCGGAUUUAUUGGGUUUAAAGGGUGCGUAGGCGGUGUUAUAAGUCAGUGGUGAAAGCCUGCAGCUCAACUGUAGAACUGCCAUUGAUACUGUAGCACUUUGAGUUCGGUUGAAGUGGGCGGAAUAUGUCAUGUAGCGGUGAAAUGCAUAGAUAUGACAUAGAACUCCAAUUGCGAAGGCAGCUCACUAAACCGAUACUGACGCUGAGGCAGAAAGCGUGGGGAGCGAACAGG